rnacentral:tRNA from 1 species
GGCGGGUCAGGGCAGUUUGGCGGUGGGACUGUAAAUCCGUCGGCUUAGCCUACCCAGGUUCGAAUCCUGGACCCGCCA